CAACACCUAAGGUGACUGGGGCCACAGGUGGAGCCCACUCACAGGCCCCCAGUGGUGGCAGGCCACGCCUCCCUCUGGCCUCUGAGAAGACCACCAUGGUCUUUCCCUGACACCUGUAGAUCACACAAGAAGCACCACACUGCACUUAGCCCCCCACUGCUCUUGGCCCACACAAAGGUGCCCGGCCAUCCAUAGCCUGCACAAGAAGUGCCCAGGCUCCUGUAGCUCAAACAGGUGGCUUCUCGCCACCCACAGCAUGCACCAGUGGCUCCCCACCCUCUGAAAGCCCGCAGACAGAUGUGCAGGGAGAUUCCUAUGGCAGUCCGCCCCUCCUCCUCUUGCCCUCCCCAACAGUGGCUCCUGGGUUCUCUGGCGGACCCAGACCUUCUCCCGGGUUCUCUCUGCUGUGGUGUUCCACUCUCCAGCCCGUAGCACACCCCUCCCCCACACAUGGCACAGUGUUCUUUAGCCCCUUAGGCUGUCCCCACACUGUCAACCCUAGUCAUCCCCCGGGACUUACCUCCAGAGCCUAAGUCUCAGCCCACAGCCCCACCCAAGCCUCUCAGGCUAUGGUGUCUGGGGCGGUGGUGCAGAUGAUUUGUGCAGCUCUCACUCUACUUUGCCCUCCUCAGUCCAGUUGCUGUGCUUUUCUUGGUGACUUUGAGGUUGCUUUGUCACAGCUGAUCUCCUGGUCAGUUAGGUGGCUUGCCAGGGUGUGUGUUGUGUUCCUUUUCUCCUUUGUAGGUCCCUCUCAGGAAUGCUAAACCUGUCCUGAUUCCUUUUCUCUCUCUCUCUCUUUUUCUUUUGUUCUCCCAAUUACGUCAAGAGAUUAUUUCUUUUCUUUUUUCUUUUUUUCUGUCUUUUUUUUUUUUGCCUUUUCCCAGGGCUGCACCCCUGGCAUAUGAACAUUCCCAGGCUAGGGGUCUAUUUGGAGCUGUAGCCACCUGCCUAUGCCAGAGCCACAGCAACACUGGAUCUGAGCCGAAUCUGCGACCUACACCACAGCUUACAGCAAUGCCGGAUCCUUAACCCACUGAGUGAGGCUGGGGAUCAAACCCACAACCUCGUGGUUCCUAGUUGGAUUCAUUAACCACUGAGCCACGACGGGAACUCCAAGAGUUUCUUCCCUUUUUGGAGGUUUCUUUUGCCAGCAUUCAAUUGAUGUUUUGUGUGAAUCAUUUUACAUGCAGUGUGUUUUUUUGAUGUGUUUGUGGGAGAAGUUGAGCAUGACGUCUUACUCCUCCAUCUCGAUGCGCCUCUCCAAAAGUAUUUACUCUCAAUUUGGAGAUGUCUCUUGACUGGCAGUAUGUGCAAAGUUAAUUGAUCAUGAAGAAUUUCAUAAAUAGUCCUUUUCCAAUAGGAAACUCUCAGGAGUUAAUGCAUUACAAUUUACACUCGGAGUAAAACAAACUAGACGAAUGAUCACCUUGACGAAGGAAUGACUAUGUGAUUUUCAUAUGGAACUGAGAUGUCUGACAAUAAAAACCCUUAUUACUUCAUUUUCUAUUAUCAAAUAUAAAAGCAGGUUUGUGCACCUUCCAAGUACUCUUGCGUAUGGCAUACCGUGUUUUUAUAAAGUGUCAUUAUUGCAUGAUAAUCAUACAUGGACAAGUGCAUGUUUAAUUUUUCCUUUGUAUUUAUGAAUACAUUUAAGUUCAAGUUUAUCAGUUUUGUAUAUAGUGUAUAAUGCAUUGGGAGAUGCUAGUUUUCAUGAUUAUAAUUUUUUUUUCAUGAUUAUAAUUCUUUCAGAUUGUGUUACUUUGUUUUGGAUUAUUAAAAAACAUUUUAGAAGGAAAUGAGGAGCCCAAAAUAGGGAUCCUUUCAAAUGGUAACCUGUUGAUUCUCAAAAAAAAUGAUUGAUGAAGGGAAGUGUAAGAAGUAUGUACACUUAUUUCAGAAUGUAGUGAAUAGCAAACCUACGUCUUAAGAAAGGAAAUGCAGCUUUGCUCCCCAGUGCAUGCGGAACAACUUUUCAAAAUUUGGAAUUUUGUAAAAUACUUUAUUUAAUAACCAGUCUUUCUAGAAUUAUAUAUGAGGAUCCAGAAUAGAUAAUAUUGUUUUAUGGCCCCACCUGUGGCAUAUGGAAGUUCCCAGACUAGGGGUCAAAUCAGAGCUGCAGCUGCCACAUCCACUGCAAGGCCAGUUCUGAGACACAUCUGCAACCUCAACUGCUGCAGCUUUUAGUAAGGCUGGCACCUUAACACACUGAGUGAGGCCAGGGAUCCAACUUGCCUCCUCAGAGAGACAGUACCAGGUCCUUAACUUGCUGAGCCUCAACAGGAGCUCCAGAAUUGACAUGAUAUUUUAUACUUAUACAAUAUAUAAUCAUGUGUUUUUUCUUUUUAAUAUUGGAAAUUUUAUUUUUGCAGGUAAUUUUUAUUGCUUUGUUAAGCAAUACAAUAGUGUUCUAUGAAGAGAAAGGCAUAGUAUUAGUUACAGUUUAAUCCUGAGAAUAUUCCAAGUUCUGAAAUAUUGGAAGUUCUCAGAAAAUAUUUCUUAAUAAUUGAAAAGGUGAUAGAUGAAUGUAUAAGAUGAUUUAGGUGAUUUUUCUCCUGCAUGAAACCUUUGUGUUAAUUCCUGCAUCACAUUUUCCCUCUUGGGUCAGAUGAUGGUUAUAGGGUCCCUCCCUUGCUUGCAUGUGUUCAUGCAUGCAUGUGGCACGUGCACACAACACACACGGGAGCACACACAGUAAUGCUGCAGCCAACAAACAUCAUGUGCUUUAUGUUCACUUCUGCUAAUGAUACCAAAUCCCCCCACUUCCUAGUCCUCCAAUCCAUAAUGUUACACAAAGAUGGUUAUUUCUGUUUUUGAUAGCAGUGGUGUCUGCCCAGGGCUCACUAGUCUGGGCAAAGGGUAGUGAGGCCCAGAAAGGGCAGCCCCAGCCCUUGGCUCCAUGCUUCUCUCCCCACCACCAGGCUCACCAAGCCAGCUCUCUUCCUGGACUCCAGUGUGGCAUGGGGAGGGUGGACCACAGCCUCCUCUGCCUGGGUGGCUGGGGCAGAGCAUUGGCAGGAGGGGCAGGGGAGGGACUUGGGCCAGGGAAGUAAGUGGGUCUAUUUUCCUGGGCCCUAGAUGGAUCACUCCUGACCAGGCUGGUGUUUGGGGAGCACACAGCCUCUCUCAACAUUCAGCGCUGAGCAAAGAAUCCCAUCUCUCUUCCUGGACCCCACUGACCUACUCACCCUACUCACCACACUUUCCAGGAUAAAGCUUGUUCCAGCCAUGGCAUCCUUCUAACCAUCACUGUCAAUUGCCUUGAUAAUUCUGUAUAGGUUUUUGCCUUUUUUUUCUCUUUAGGGCUCCAACUGGAGCCACAGUUGCAUCAUUCAGAUUCCUCUACCCACUACACCACAGUGGGAACUCCUGUAUUUUCUAUGGAGUUCAUUUAGAGUCAAAUACAUAGAAACAUUUUUACUUUUGCAGAGGUUAAGUAGGAAGUUGAAUGUUCUCUAAUAAACUUUUCCAGGUCUUUGCUCUCUCUGCAUAUUUUCUUUAAUGAUGGUCCUAGGGAAAGCCUUAAUACAAGAUUUGAAAAGCCAAAGCCAGAUCGUUCUGAUUUCCCUAAAGCUACAUGAUUUCAUGAUUUACAUAAUUACAGCUUUUAUCUCUGUGUGUACAUUUCAGAAUAAAAUUAAAAAAUAUCAGAAGCCCAGCCUAGGAGUUUCCUUGUGGUCCAGCAGGUGAAGGGUCCACCAUUGUCACUGCAUCGGCUUGAGUUGCAGCUGUGGCCCAGGUUCAAUCCCUGGCCCAGGAAUUUUCACAUACCAUGGUUUUGCCCAAAACAUGAAUUUCAAAAGAGAGAACAAAAUUAUAUUAUUGUUAAAUCCUUUUAAAAAAGAAAAUAAAAUCCCAGCCUAGCCAAAAGGAGAGAGUGUCAGGCCGGUUCAUUGUAAUGAAUGCCAAGAGGGAUGAGAAAUUCAGCUAGACAAAGACUGGAAAGGUGGCACCUUUAUUUAUCAGUUGGAAUCAUCAGGGACUCUGGUGUCCAUUCAAAGGAAUGGGGGAAGGAAAAGACAUCCUGGAAGUGGUGGAGACUGUCAAAGAGAAAAGAAACAAAUCUUUCUAGAAGCUUGUCAUGGGAAAUAAGAUUGGUACAAUUCAGCGGGGAGAAACAGCAUGAGACGUUCACAGAGAGAGGAGAUUUUAAGUCGUCAUCUGAAGAAAGAAAAUGCAGAUAAAAUGGUAGGCUCAUUGGGCGGAUGCCUGGUUUUCUUCAGCAGCACAAAGGUGCCUGGGUGAGGUAAGAGGGGAGGAAUGAUAAUCGAUGUCUUGUGAGCUGGAGUUUGGCCAAGUACGGGGAGAGGACAGAAAGACGAGGGAAGAGAGAAUUUUAGCUCUUGGUAUUGUUGGAGGAAAAACUUUUCCUCUACCCUCUUAGUUUCAGUGAUUCGAAGUCUGCAAAUUAGAUACAAGCAGACUGCCUGAGGAAAAACCAUUUAAUUACAUAUGUCUAUAUGCAGAUGCUCACAAAGAAAUGUGGUUUGGAGGGGUGGCUAGAAUUUGGGAUUUGCCAACUAUGUAAUAAGUGGCAAGGAGUAGGAAAAAGGCAUCAAUGGAUUUUUCCUUAAAAUGAGCUUUCCAUUCUUAUACUUCUAUGAAACUAAAAUUGUAAGGUUUGUUCCAUGGUAAUAAUUUUUCAACAUAGAAUCUUAAAUACAUAAAAUGAAGAAAGUGGUUCUGUUAUAAUGUCAUGUGAAAAUUUUAGUGGCAAAAACAACAACAAAAAAAACCCCAAAAAGCUGCUUGAAGAAAGGAAUAAGAGAGGGGCUAGGCCGGUUUUCACCCUGGGAUUCUGAUCAUGACUUUCUAGAAUUAGAAACAAGGAAAACAAUAUGGAAUUCUUGAAUUGUAACUCUGGAACUUUGUUUCCAUUCUAGAAAUGAGGGCCGGCUUUUGGAAACAUCUAAUUAUAUUUAUCCACUUCAUUCUGAAAUGCCUGGGGAUACUUCAAACUAUAUUGCAAGUGCCUCCACCUAGAGUGUUCUUUUUAUUAUAGAUUUUCAUUCAAAAAUAACCUACACAGUAGAAAAAAUAACAUAUUGUGGAAAUACAAAUAAAUCAAUCUAUUAUCUCACUGUUAAAAAAAAUAAACCAUCUACACAGAAGCAUUACAUGAGAUUUUCUGAAGCAGUGGAAGAAGCUGAGCAUUUUAUUAACAAAAGCGUUUCAUACAAUUGAGUUCUAUACUGCCUUCCUUCAUAACCAAUUUACCCUCAUUAGCAGGCAGGCGGCAGACCCGAUGCAGCUGGUGCCUCCUCUGAAGGGAACCUGGCAUGACAUCCCUGCUGACCUUUGUAUUCUAUUGCUUUUGCUUCCAGUUAAGAAUGUUGCCUAUAACCUGCAGUGUACAGGGCAGCCCAUUCUCAAGACCCUGCCAUUCCAGGUAAAGCAUUUUUCUAUUCCUGAAGAGAUUUAAAAAGUUGCAGGACAGAAGACAGCAUGUCUUUUGUUGGAGGUUUACAGGAUCAUCUUGACUUGACCUACUAAAACAAUUCCUGCACCAAGAAGUUUGCAACAACUAACUAUGGUCCUCUCUCCCCUGGCCCCUGAAAACACUUUGCUGAAACUCUUUGGGGAGUUCAGGGUUGGGGUGUAGGGGCCCCCGUUCUCCUUGUAUGAUGCUGCAAUAAAGCUUUCUCUGCUCCAAACCCACAUGUUUUGGUAUUGCUUGCCCUAGCUGUGCCUCAGCACACAAAACUGUUCAGCACCAAGAAGAAUGGUCAGCUCAGUAAGGUAGCUCUGUUUUAGGGGCCUUGGUCUCACUGUGGAGGAGGGUGGUGAGGACAGCAUCACACCCUUUGUGUUACUGAGUCCAAGCUCAUACCUUUUGCCCCCUGACAGGCCAAUGCAUUGAGAGUUGUUGGGGCAAGGAAUGACACUUUUAUUCAGAAAGCUAGCGGACAGAAAAGCCAAAGGAGCCUCUUCCCUCCAGGUGGAAUUCAGGCUUCUUUCAUCCUUAAGUGAGGGGAAGGGGAGGGUAUGGUUGUUGGUUGCAAACUGCUUGCUGCAGGAAUCCUUUGUCCAUUAGGCCAGGCCACACUAUGCCUACACACUUCCAAAAGAAUAAAUGUUACUCCCUCUUUUGCAAAUUUACCUCUACAUGAAUAGAACUUUGAAGGAUUAGCAAUGAGAUCCUGCUGUGUAGCACUGGGACCUAUGUCUAGUCACUUAAUGAUGGAGCAUGGUAAUGUGAGAAAAAAGAAUGUAUGCAUGUAUGUGUAACUGGGUCACCUUGCUGUACAGAAGGAAAAAAAAU
rnacentral:lncRNA from 1 species